AUGUGUACAUCAUUUUUGUAUAAUUAGAGUACUGUUAUUCUAUUAAAUAUAGGAGUAGGAAAAAAGAUUAUACAUUACUGGAAAAAAUCAGAACGUUUGAUGAGAAACAUUUAAUGGGAAUUGAUUUUUAGAUGUUCAUAGCCAUUAAGAAAAAUAUGUAUUUUUCCGUUGACAAUUGGGAGAUUAAUGGGAAUUGGAAUACUUUAUUUUAGUAAUUUGAAGUAGAAUUGUUGGAGAAAAUGGAAGAUCAAAGAAGAUGGAAGAUUGAUGAUGAUGGCGUGAGAAACAAUGAGGAAGCUGGCUUUCCUCAUUAGGAAGAUAAAAGAGAAUGCAGCUUCCCAAUUUGGGCUUCUUGAACUCCCUCAUCAACGGGCAUGCGAUUGAUGUUCAUAAAUUCCUGUUUUCGAGUUUGCAAGUGAAGAGUGAAUGUUCUAAUGGAAUCAAAAGGUGGUAAAGACGGUUCCAGUAGUAGUAGUAAAUCAUUGCUAUACGUCAGCACCACUCGCUUACACCAUUGAAUACGUUCGACCAAAGAGAGGAGUCAAGAAAUUCAGAUCUACUUCUUACUCAAACAUAAGCUAAAAGUAAAAUGAGUUGCGUUCUAAGAAGUGAAGUCACAUCCAGUUAUGGAGACCAUCUAGCAUUCAAUACUGCGGUGCAAGAAGUGAAGCCACAAAUUUUGUGGCAUACUAUUUGUAAGAUAUGAUAACUCUGUAUCUUUGCAUUCAUAGAUUAGGAGUAUAAAUAUACAAUGUAAAAUUAAGGCAAUAUUCUGCCAUGAUAAUCAGCAAUCAUGUUGCUAAUUUACAGCAAUAGUAUCGCUAAUUAUGCGCCAAUCAUGGCUGAUUAUUCUUGAUUGAUAUCCUAUACAUAGAUAUCAUAUAUACAUAAUAUAUGCUAUACAUAA